rnacentral:rRNA from 1 species
GACGAACGCUGGCGGCGUGCCUAAUACAUGCAAGUUGAGCGCUGAAGGUUGGUACUUGUACCAACUGGAUGAGCAGCGCACGGGUGAGUAACGCGUGGGGAAUCUGCCUUUGAGCGGGGGACAACAUUUGGAAACGAAUGCUAAUACCGCAUAAAAACUUUAAACACAAGUUUUAAGUUUGAAAGAUGCAAUUGCAUCACUCAAAGAUGAUCCCGCGUUGUAUUAGCUAGUUGGUGAGGUAAAGGCUCACCAAGGCGAUGAUACAUAGCCGACCUGAGAGGGUGAGCGGCCACAUUGGGACUGAGACACGGCCCAAACUCCUACGGGAGGCAGCAGUAGGGAAUCUUCGGCAAUGGACGAAAGUCUGACCGAGCAACGCCGCGUGAGUGAAGAAGGUUUUCGGAUCGUAGAACUCUGUUGGUAGAGAAGAACGUUGGUGAGAGUGGAAAGCUCAUCAAGUGACGGUAACUACCCAGAAAGGGACGGCUAACUACGUG